rnacentral:rRNA from 1 species
GAGAUUCCCUAAGUAGCGGCGAGCGAACGGGGAUUAGCCCUUAAGCUAAACAACUGGUAGGAGAAGGCUCUGGAAAGUGCCGCCAUAGUGGGUGAUAGCCCCGUAUCCGAAACCUGAGUUUAGUGAAAUCGAGUAGGACGGGACACGUGGUAUCCUGUCUGAAUAUGGGGGGACCAUCCUCCAAGGCUAAAUACUCCUGACUGACCGAUAGUGAACCAGUACCGUGAGGGAAAGGCGAAAAGAACCCC